rnacentral:rRNA from 1 species
UACGUAGGUGGCAAGCGUUGUCCGGAUUUACUGGGCGUAAAGAGCGCGCAGGCGGUCGAUCAAGUCGCGUGUGAAAGCCCCCGGCUCAACUGGGGAGGGUCACGCGAUACUGAUCGACUCGAAGGCAGGAGAGGGUAGUGGAAUUCCCGGUGUAGUGGUGAAAUGCGUAGAUAUUCGGAAGAACACCAGUGGCGAAGGCAGCGAACUGGCGCUUUAUCGACGCUCAGGCACGAAAGCAUGGGGAUCAAACAGG